UACGUAGGUGGCAAGCGUUGUCCGGAAUUAUUGGGCGUAAAGCGCGCGCAGGCGCCUUUUAAGUCUGAUGUGAAAGCCCACGGCUCAACCGUGGAAAGGUCAUUGGAAACUGAAAAGGCUUGAGUACAGAAGAGGAAAAGCGGAAAUUCCACGUGUAGCGGUGAAAAUGCGUAGAGAUGUGGAGGAACACCAGUGGCGAAGGCGGCUUUCUGUCUGUAACUGACGCUGAGGCGCGAAAAGCGUGGGGGAGCAAACAGG
rnacentral:rRNA from 1 species